rnacentral:lncRNA from 12 species
UUUGUCCUUUGGCAUGAUCUCCCAACUCAAAGUUAUUUUGACUAAGGUCCAAGAACAUGAGGUUUUUCAAGCCUUGAAAGAGAUACUGAAUGCUAGUACUAAUGUGGGAUGAGGAAAGAUUCAGCACUGGCUAGACAUGCAGAUUUUGGAAAGGGCUCUGUGAGGUGUCGAUAUGGAGAGAAGGGAUGAGAGUUACAUUGCUGCUCUUCUGCAGAGCUUGGACAUCUUCUGCUGUGGUUGCUUGUGUGCUGUUCAUUUGAAAACGGAGGCGUUUGGGGUUUCGAGUGGGGAAGCUGGGAGGAAGCUGCAGUGCAGGGAUGUGGUUGCUGCCCAAGAUGAUGAUAUCUAAGCUGUCAAGAUUUGACACUGGAAUAAAGAAGAUACUUGUUAUUCCUGUCUGUGUCAACAUG